CACCUUUACAUUCACAACCAAACCCCCAAUGCUUCUAAUCUUCUUGGCUUCUUUCAACACUUCCCCAUCCUCUUUUGUCGGUCUUUUUUCACCUAAGCCCUUCAAUCAUACUCCAGUUUAAAUUUUCACCAUUGAUUCCAUCUAACAGACUUCACAAUUACCUCUAAACCUCCAUAAAAAGCGUCGUCUCCAUGGAUUCAAAAUGAAAUCCUUCACGAUGGCGUACAAACCUACAGAGAAGAGAGACGAGUAAAGCCAUAAGCAGGGGGAAGAGAGAGAGAGAGAGAGAGUUCUGGGUAAAAAAUUAAAAUUUAUAAUCGUUAAAAAAUCUGGAGAACAGAGAAAGAGGAAACUCUAGAGAGAGGGCAAAGGGGAGAAUUUUGGGAGAAAAUUUAAAUUUAUUCGUUAGAGAAUCUUUAAAAUAAACAUACAUUUUUAAUCAAUUAUCUUUUCAACUAUUCUCUUACCUUCAUCAGCUUCACCUGUAUUUUCCCACAAUUGAUGAAUCCAAAUCUCAAAAUUUCAGUAAUCGAAUUCAUUUAGCCACAAUUUCAUGAAUUCACCCAUGAAAUAUUAUCACGAUUGAUUGUAACCUAAGUCUUUAAUUUAGAUUAGUUUCUAGUCAAAUAAAUUUUUUGAUAAUAAUUGCGAUAACAUGUCAUAAUCAAACAACAUGUCACAUUCAACAAAUUAUUGGUCACAGUCAAUCCAAGAUAACGCAGACUUUUGUCACACAAGGUCACAAUCAACAUAUAAAUGGUCACAAACUUUAUGUAAUCAGGUUUGUCACAAACAAUCAUUUUUAAAAUAUGUCUCAUUACACGUCACUGUUAAUAUAAACUUGAUCACGUACAGUCACAGUAAAAACAGAUCUGGUCACAAUAGAUUACAGUUAACACAAACUUGAUCACAAAUAAUUAAAUAAUUGAUCAGAAUUUAUUUAUCAAUCCCGAAGACACAAAUUAUAGGUCACAAUUACAAAUUUAAUUACAAAUCACACAUUUUAGGUCACAAAAUUGGAAUUAUAAAUAGAAUUGGUUGCUGUAAAAGUAGCUCUCGUUCAUUUUCUUUCUUUCCUUUUUUAGGAUAAGAGAAUAAUGGGAUGAAAAAAAUUGUCAUUCCACACCAGUUUGUCUUCAAAGUGAUUUUCUGUGACCAGUUCAGUCUAAUUCGAAUGUAUGUAAUCAGGCCACUGUUAAUUUGGUCAGUCACAGGUAAGACAGAUCUAGUCACGAAUAGUCAUAAUAAAGAUAGACUUAGUCACAAUGAAUCACAAUUAAUACAGAUAGACUUCGCACAUCCAAUCACUAUUAACACAAACUUAGUCACAAGGUCACAGAUAACACAGACUUAGUCACAAAGGUCACAAUUAACAUAUAAAUGGUCACCACCAUUUUGCAUUUCUUGACAAAGUAAUCGGUGGCCAGGCAUCUAUGACCUCCUCCUCUGUGGUUCACUCAUCCAUACACAAAUUAGUAAUUUAAUUUUUCUGUGGCGUAAAUUCAGAAAAGUUUCAUCUCUAUGUCUUUAUGUGAUUAUAUAUUAAAAUAAAUUGAAAAUUGGUCUUAUUCCAAUUUCCAAUAGAUCUAACAUAAACUACUAAUAAAAUUUAUCAGAAAAUGCUAACUUGAUUAAUCAAGUUAAACAUACCAUAAAUUUGGAGUGCCCAGAAUAUACAUAUUUAUCCCUUUUUGGUCAACAUGAUCGAACAAUAUGUAAAUGAGGAUCCUAUUGCCAUACAUUGAUCGUCGACCUUAAAACUCGCUCAUUGGCUGAUGAGCUUCGUUAAUGUUUUGCUAGAAUGAAAUAUUCUACAAAUUUUUUUCAUUUGAUAAAAACUAACUUAUAAAUAAUCCCUAUAAUUAAUAAUAAUAACUUUGCUUUUGGUAGUGGAGACAGGCUGCUGCUGGUGGCUCUUCCAGUUCCCUCCUCCAAACCUUUCUCUUGGUCUUCCAUCGCCUCCAAACCCUUCCGUUAAACACCACCAACAUCGCUGCAACCGACAUCACCAUCGGUACCACCACCACCGCACCCCCCAAGAUUUUACCCCCAAAGCAGAUCGACGGUUGGAGUACAUUUUUUUUCUUCCAAAGUCCCAUAACAAAUGCGGCCGCCGGAGUAAAUUUUUCUCUCAUUUUUGUUGUCGGAGCCAGGUAUUUUUGAGGUUAUUUCUGUGAUGGAGGGAGAAAUGGUGAGAUGUGAUUUUUGUGAUAAGGAGAGAGAAAUGGUGAGAUGUGGGUUUAAUAAAUUUUAAUUAAAUAAUUAAUCCCUGAUUUGUGAAAAGAAAAGUUUAAGAUUUCAUAAGUGAAAUGUAUACUUAAAAUGUAG
rnacentral:lncRNA from 1 species